rnacentral:rRNA from 1 species
UACGUAGGGUGCAAGCGUUGUCCGGAAUCACUGGGCGUAAAGGGUGCGUAGGCGGGUCUUUAAGUCAGGGGUGAAAUCCUGGAGCUCAACUCCAGAACUGCCUUUGAUACUGAGGAUCUUGAGUUCGGGAGAGGUGGGUGGAACUGCGAGUGUAGAGGUGAAAUUCGUAGAUAUUCGCAAGAACACCAGUGGCGAAGGCGGACUCACUGGCCCAAUACUGACGCUGAGGCACGAAAGCGUGGGGAGCAAACAGG